rnacentral:misc_RNA from 1 species
AAAAAAUAUCUCAUUGACCCGUCACUCUUUUCCUCAGCUUUGCACCACACAAAUUUUAUUCCCUAUUCACUUCUUUCUCUGUCUGUGUUCCUGUCUGUGUCCAUGUUCACAUGAGCCUAUGCGUGUGUAUUCCAUCCGCAGUGUGCAAGGUUGGGAUCAGUCGUACUAUGAAACUACUGUUAUUAUUUUUUCUGUUAAUCCCUCACUUGAUCAUUACUACUCCUGCUGAACUGUUGCCGGUCCAGGCAUCAGCAGCAGGGGAAUUCCAGCCUGUGGAGCCGACUGAGUACCGGUUAAUCGCGGCAACAGUGCGAGGACGAAGGCUGGCACCCUUCCAGCUGUGCUUGUUGUGCAAGUGCUGUGCUGCGGCUGCUGCCACUACCUGUGCCACCAUGCCUUGCUGCUUUGGCAUCGAUUGCCAGCUUCCUAAUAAGCCUUAUGGGAAAAAUGGAGCUCAAGAAUUGAGAAAAGAAAACAAAGCCAGGGAUGACUAUGAUUUUGGUUCUUGAUGUACCAAGGAAGGAUCAGAGGAGUUCUUUUUGGUGAUGCAUAGAUUGGAAGAUCUUUCAUUUCUCUUCUGGGAAUGAUUAGAGAAUUGUUUGUCUUAAAAUAUGCAAAAUUUAAGAUAUGUUCUUGUUCUAAUAGUGUAUUUUGAUUCAAUUGAUUUGAAAUUUCAUGAAUAGCUUGGUGAUAAACAAG